rnacentral:lncRNA from 1 species
CUUUUAUUUGAACUUUAGUAAUUGAGAACAUAAUCAAAAGAAUUUUGUACUUUUUUCUGAAAGGUGCCAAGAUAACGAACCCUUUGAUCAAAAGCCUUGCCCCCCUUCUGGUUACUUUCCACUUCCACUCUAGUGAACCAUUCCCAAACACCGAUCUUUAUCUUACAGCAGCAAAACAAUUCUUAACAAAGGUACGUGUAAAUGACCCUUUUUGAAUCUGUUGCCUGGGCAUGACUUCCCAUCCAUGGAAUGCAUGUGCCUGACUCAAAUUUCAUACAUCAGUUCUAUCCUUUAUAAAGAUCCAGAACAACAGCCCUUUACUUUUCCACUGUUGCUGAAGCUGGUGUUCACGUGUACAACCUUUCCCUGUGUAUACAAGUCAACCAACUGACUUGAGUAUGAGGAUGCUUUUGCUUUUGGUUCUUGUACCGCUUUCAUUGAGCGAUUGCAGUGAAGAUUUACCUGAAAAGAAAGAGCAGCUCUUUUCAGUCACCACCAACACUAAAAACAAUGCUGAGAGAGGGAAACUGACACCCGCACACCCGAUCAAUGGUCCAAUACAGCACAGUGACCAAUUGAAUCACAAUGAGCUGGUGAACAUGCCCUAUCGUCAACGGCUGGUUGAAAGGAAAAGCAAGCGUGGGAGAUUGAGAAGACUUUGCCAGUUAAAAAAAUCCAAAAAGGUGAGGAGGUGUUUCAGGUUUUCCAAACCGAAGAAAGAAAGAAAAUCUUCAAAGUUUAGUCUCAGUAUUCCAAUCUGAGCACCGGGAUAAUCAUCUUCCAUACCAGAGGUGAAAGUAAUGGAUUACAAGUGCUCAAGUUACUGUAAUUGUGUUGCUUUUUUAGGUACCUGUGCUUUUUUGAGUGGAGUCAUUUGUUACAUUUCUACAAUUGUUACUGAGUAAGUAAGAUUGUAAUUGUUGGAGUUCUUAUUAUUUUUCUUCCACAACUUGCUUUGUCAUAAAACUCCUCCUAGACUAUUAAUGCAGCGCUAACGGGGGCAAGUGCAGUCGUGUUUAUUACCAAAAAUAAAAGCGGGGGGUGAAAGUAACUAGUAACUACU